rfam:Pseudomonas alkylphenolica strain KL28 chromosome, complete genome.
CGUUAUGGCGGCUGUGCGCGGGGCGCCUUCGUGCGCGCCGGGUUCCUUGAUCCCUGGUCUGCUAACCCGCGUACAGCUGCCACCCUU